GAUGAACGCUGGCGGCGUGCUUAACACAUGCAAGUCGAACGAUGAAGCCCAGCUUGCUGGGUGGAUUAGUGGCGAACGGGUGAGUAACACGUGAGUAACCUGCCCUUGACUCUGGGAUAAGCCCGGGAAACUGGGUCUAAUACCGGAUAGGAGCGCCUGUCGCAUGACGGGUGCUGGAAAGAUUUUUCGGUCAUGGAUGGACUCGCGGCCUAUCAGCUUGUUGGUGAGGUAAUGGCUCACCAAGGCGACGACGGGUAGCCGGCCUGAGAGGGUGACCGGCCACACUGGGACUGAGACACGGCCCAGACUCCUACGGGAGGCAGCAGUGGGGAAUAUUGCACAAUGGGCGGAAGCCUGAUGCAGCGACGCCGCGUGAGGGAUGACGGCCUUCGGGUUGUAAACCUCUUUCAGCAGGGAAGAAGCGAAAGUGACGUACCUGCAGAAGAGCAC
rnacentral:rRNA from 1 species